GCUAAGUUUGAUGGCGACCGGCGCACGGGUGAGUAACACGUAUCCAACCUGCCCUUUACUCGGGGAUAGCCUUUCGAAAGAAAGAUUAAUACCCGAUGGCAUAAUGAUUCCGCAUGGUUUCAUUAUUAAAGGAUUCCGGUAAAGGAUGGGGAUGCGUUCCAUUAGGUUGUUGGUGAGGUAACGGCUCACCAAGCCUUCGAUGGAUAGGGGUUCUGAGGGGAAGGUCCCCCACAUUGGAACUGAGACACGGUCCAAACUCCUACGGGAGGCAGCAUG
rnacentral:rRNA from 1 species